rnacentral:rRNA from 1 species
AAGGGCGCACGGUGGAUGCCUUGGCACUAGAAGCCGACGAAGGACGUUACUAACGACGAUAUGCUUUGGGUAGCUGUAAGUAAGCGUUGAUCCAGAGAUUUCCGAAUGGGGGAACCCAGCACGAGUUAUGUCGUGUUAUCGACAAGUGAAUUCAUAGCUUGUCAGAAGGCAGACCCGGAGAACUGAAACAUCUUAGUACCCGGAGGAAGAGAAAGAAAAAUCGAUUCCCUGAGUAGCGGCGAGCGAAACGGGAAGAGCCCAAACCAAUAAGCUUGCUUAUUGGGGUUGUAGGACACUCUAUACGGAGUUACAAAGGAAUAUAUUAGACGAAUCAUCUGGAAAGUUGAAUCAAAGAAGGUAAUAAUCCUGUAGUUGAAAAUAUAUUCUCUCUUGAGUGGAUCCUGAGUACGACGGAGCACGUGAAAUUCCGUCGGAAUCUGGGAGGACCAUCUCCUAAGGCUAAAUACUCUCUAGUGACCGAUAGUGAACCAGUACCGUGAGGGAAAGGUGAAAAGUACCCCGGAAGGGGAGUGAAAGAGAACUUGAAACCGUGUGCUUACAAGUAGUCAGAGCCCGUUAA